rnacentral:snoRNA from 1 species
GAUAUGAUGAUGAACCAAACCAUAGAUUUGUCUGUAUUCACCAUGAUGAGACAUAACAUGCACUACCAUCUGAUC